UACGGAGGUUCCAAGCGUUGUUCGGAAUUACUGGGCGUAAAGGGAGCGCAGGCGGAACAGUAAGUCUAAAGUGGAAUCCCGGGGCUCAACCUCGGACGUGCUUUGGAUACUGUUGUUCUUGAGUUCGCGAGAGGAAAGCGGAAUUCAGGGUGUAGCGGUGAAAUGCUUAGAUAUCCUGAGGAACACCAAUGGCGAAAGCAGCUUUCUAGCGCGUUACUGACGCUGAGGCUCGAAAGCGUGGGGAGCGAACGGG
rnacentral:misc_RNA from 1 species